rnacentral:lncRNA from 1 species
UUUGCUCACUUUAUCUAUGCCGUGAUUUAAUUUCUGCCAAAGAUGCACUGAGUUAGGACCCCGUCAUCCUCUCACCGGACCUAUGCUGAACAGAGCUGGGCCCAUCUCGCAUACUUUCCGUUAGCAGCUCGAAGGAUUUAGAGCUGGAGGUGGACUAAUAGCAACAUUUUAAUGAGAAGAAAGAUGCAGAAGGACAUCUUCAUUUCACACGAAGGACUGAGGAAGCUGAGGUUCACGUGGUGUCUCUGAGCAACCUCUUGGGAAGCAGUGGUGAUAUGUCAACAACUCCCACCAUCACUGUAUCCGAGUGCCGUGCUGACCUAAUGUGUUUGUCAUCAACUCC